GAUGAACGCUGGCGGCGUGCCUAAUACAUGCAAGUCGAGCGAACAGAUGAGGAGCUUGCUCCUCUGACGUUAGCGGCGGACGGGUGAGUAACACGUGGAUAACCUACCUAUAAGACUGGGAUAACUUCGGGAAACCGGAGCUAAUACCGGAUAAUAUAUUGAACCGCAUGGUUCAAUAGUGAAAGACGGUUUUGCUGUCACUUAUAGAUGGAUCCGCGCCGCAUUAGCUAGUUGGUAAGGUAACGGCUUACCAAGGCAACGAUGCGUAGCCGACCUGAGAGGGUGAUCGGCCACACUGGAACUGAGACACGGUCCAGACUCCUACGGGAGGCAGCAGUAGGGAAUCUUCCGCAAUGGGCGAAAGCCUGACGGAGCAACGCCGCGUGAGUGAUGAAGGUCUUCGGAUCGUAAAACUCUGUUAUUGGGGAAGAACAAAUGUGUAAGUAACUAUGCACGUCUUGACGGUACCUAAUCAGAAAGCCCCGGCUAACUACGUG
rnacentral:rRNA from 1 species